rnacentral:tRNA from 1 species
GCGGACGUGGCGAAAUCGGUAGACGCAGCGGACUUAAAAUCCGCUUCCCCUCGGGAGUGUGGGUUCAAGUCCCACCGUCCGCA